AUUCCAAUCGAACGCGGAGAUAGCUGGUUCUCCCCGAAAUAGCUUUAGGGCUAGCGUCGAGGUAAAGUCGUGUGAAGGUAGAGCACUGAAUAUGUGAUGGCCCCAUCUCGGGGUACUGAACAUAAUCAAACUCCGAAUGUCACAAAGAUAUACUCGGCAGUCAGACAGUGGGUGAUAAGGUCCAUUGUCAAAAGGGAAACAGCCCAGACCAUCAGCUAAGGUCCCAAAAUAUAUACUAAGUGGAAAAGGAUGUGGAGAUGUCCAGACAACUAGGAGGUUGGCUCAGAAGCAGCCAUCCUUUAAAGAGUGCGUAACAGCUCACUAGUCGAAUGACUCUGCGCCGAUAAUUUACCGGGGCUAAGUAUAUUACCGAAGCUAUGGAUUUACGCGUAAGCGUGAGUGGUAGGGGAGCGUUCUAUGUGCGGAGAAGCGGUACCGUAAGGAGCCGUGGAGCGCAUAGAAGAGAGAAUGCCGGUGUGAGUAGCGAAACGUGGGUGAGAAUCCCACGCACCGAAAACCCAAGGUUUCCAGAGGAAGGUUCGUCCGCUCUGGGUAAGUCGGGACCUAAGGCGAGGCCGAGAGGCGUAGUCGAUGGACAACAGGUAGAGAUUCCUGUACUUACGGUAUGAAUGAUGGAGUGACGGAGAAGGCUAGCGGAUCCUGCUGAUGGAAAUGCAGGUGCAAGCGAGGUAGCCGACAGCCAGGCAAAUCCGGCUGUCGAAAGGCAAAGGCGUGAGGCGUAUGGAAAGCUGCGGCAAGUACAGAAGUCCGUGAAGCCAGCUUCCAAGAAAAGCUUCUAGUGAUAAUCAUACAGUAACCCGUACCGAAAAUGGACACACAUGGGUGAGGAGAGAAUCCUAAGGUGAGCGAGAGAACUAUAGCUAAGGAACUCUGCAAAAUGACUCCGUAACUUAGGGAUAAGGAGUGCUCAUAGAGAUAUGAGCCGCAGUGAAACGGCCCAAGCGACUGUUUACCAAAAACACAGCUCUAUGCUAAGUCGAAAGACGACGUAUAUGGGGUGACGCCUGCCCGGUGCUGGAAGGUUAAGAGGAUGUGUCAGCGCAAGCGAAGCAUUGAAUUGAAGCCCCAGUAAACGGCGGCCGUAACUAUAACGGUCCUAAGGUAGCGAAAUUCCUUGUCAGGUAAGUUCUGACCCGCACGAAAGGCGUAACGAUUUGGGCGCUGUCUCAGCUGUAGACUCGGUGAAGUCUUAGUACCUGUGAAGAUGCAGGUUACCCGCGACUAGACGGAAAGACCCCAUGGAGCUUUACUGUAGCUUGAUAUUGGACUUUGAUGCAAGAUGUACAGGAUAGGUAGGAGACUGAGAGACAUGCACGCCAGUGUGUGAGGAGUCAAUGUUGGGAUACUACUCUUCUUGUAUUGGAGUUCUAACCGGAUGCCAUGGAACUGGCAACGGGACAGUGUCAGGUGGGCAGUUUGACUGGGGCGGUCGCCUCCCAAAGAGUAACGGAGGCGCCCAAAGAUACCCUCAGCUUGGAUGGAAAUCAAGCGCAGAGUGCAAAGGCAUAAGGGUGUUUGACUGCGAGACCUACAAGUCGAGCAGGGACGAAAGUCGGGCUUAGUGAUCCGGCGGUGCUGAAUGGAAAGGCCGUCGCUCAACGGAUAAAAGCUACCCUGGGGAUAACAGGCUGAUCUCCCCCAAGAGUUCACAUCGACGGGGAGGUUUGGCACCUCGAUGUCGGCUCAUCGCAUCCUGGGGCUGUAGUCGGUCCCAAGGGUUGGGCUGUUCGCCCAUUAAAGCGGUACGCGAGCUGGGUUCAGAACGUCGUGAGACAGUUCGGUCCCUAUC
rnacentral:rRNA from 1 species